rnacentral:rRNA from 1 species
ACGUCAAAUCAUCAUGCCCCUUAUGUCCUGGGCUACACACGUACUACAAUGGCCAGUACAGAGGGAAGCGAAGGAGCAAUUCGGAGCGAAGCCCCAAAACUGGUCUCAGUUCGGAUUGUGGGCUGAAACCCGCCCACAUGAAGUCGGAAUUGCUAGUAAUGGCAGGUCAGCAUACUGCCGUGAAUACGUUCCCGGGCCUU